GACUUCUCCACGCAGACCCGCGGCCGCUGGGAGCGCCUAGUCUUCGCGAGUGUCAGUCACUGUAGUCCUCCCGGCGGGAAGCCGGUGGCUUCUACGCUGCUGGGCUCCGUUGGCUGCCCUGGGUUGCUUUUCACAUUUCUGUUUAAUCUGACUCUUCUACCCGUGGAAGUCUGUGCUCACUUCUUCCCGACCCUGCCGGACUCCAGCUUCCGCGCCCGCUGGCAGCCCAAGGACACGUCCCGCCGCCCCACGGCGCUGGGGACGCUGCGGGGUUCAGUGUCCCUUCCUUCCGGAUCCGCGUUUGAAUCCCCCUUCCUCGGAUCCCGUACGCAGCCCAGAGCCCGGCGAUCUGACUUCUUCCGUGGGCGGCCACUCAGUGACCCGAGCGGCGGCGUUUUGGCCCGGAGGGUGGGCGCAACGUGGGGACCGCCCGGGUCCAGCCGGCUUGCGCGCCGCCCCUCCUCGCUGCAGCUGGGCACGUUGGGCGGCAGGAGAGGCUGCUGUCUUCCUGGCUCUCCCUUCCUAAGCUCCCGGGUCUGCGAAAGUUUGGGGUGGGUUGUACUUUCUCCUAGGUCAGUGUGUCCCACCCGGUACCCCACCCUCCUUUCUGCCCGGCCCCUCCCCCUCGUCGGCGCUAUGCUUUCUCUCCGGGCCCCCCACCUAGUAUACUGCACGGGCUCCCGGGGUGGCUUUGCCCCCGGGGACACUGCCAGGCGUUCGGUCCUGGAGCCCGGGAAUCCGAGCCUAUCCUCUCGCUCCCGCCCGGGGAUCGCGUGAAAAUCAAUAGAGCACCACCCAGCUCGUGUUGGAAGGGACGCUCAGACAUCUCCGCCCACGGCAUUUUCCCUCUAGGAGAAGAAGAGAUUGAGACAUCAAAACUAAUUUGCCAACGAUCUCACUGUUACGGAUGGAGCAAGGGGUUCGAAUUCUGGGGGGAUAAAUUUAACAUCAGCCUUCAGCCGUCCAGCUACUCACCUUCGAAUCACAGUCCCC
rnacentral:lncRNA from 10 species